rnacentral:rRNA from 1 species
GACGAACGCUGGCGGCGUGCUUAACACAUGCAAGUCGAACGAAGAGCGAUGGAAGCUUGCUUCUAUCAAUCUUAGUGGCGAACGGGUGAGUAACGCGUAAUCAACCUGCCCUUCAGAGGGGGACAACAGUUGGAAACGACUGCUAAUACCGCAUACGAUCUAAACUCGGCAUCGAGGAUAGAUGAAAGGUGGCCUCUACAUGUAAGCUAUCACUGAAGGAGGGGAUUGCGUCUGAUUAGCUAGUUGGAGGGGUAACGGCCCACCAAGGCGAUGAUCAGUAGCCGGUCUGAGAGGAUGAACGGCCACAUUGGGACUGAGACACGGCCCAGACUCCUACGGGAGGCAGCAGUGGGGAAUCUUCCGCAAUGGACGAAAGUCUGACGGAGCAACGCCGCGUGAGUGAUGACGGCCUUCGGGUUGGAAAGCUCUGUUAAUCGGGACGAAAGGCCUUCUUGCGAAUAGUGAGAAGGAUUGACGGUACCGGAAUAGAAAGCCACGGCUAACUACGUG